GUGCCCCCUCACACGCCCACACGCCGGGCGUGCCUCAGUUUCCUCUAUUGUGACAGAAUAGAGAUGAGACGAUGCAGGUUAAAAUUACCUACCGGCGCAUAAUGAGUUCUCCAGCAUCUAGCUAGUUCUACCAUAGGAUUAAUACCCAAAACCACGUGGGUGGAGCUGAAAAACACGAUGCUGUGGGGGGAAGAACCCAAAAAGCCAUAGUCGGUCUGAUGUCCAUUUAUAGGACAUUCUAGAAGAAGCAACAGUGGCGAUGCAAAGCAGUUGCCUGGGAAAGGAGUGGAACAGGACAGAAUGGAAUGCACAGGAGCGGGGGAACUUUGGGGCAGUGGUGGGACAAUUUCAUAUCUUAAUAGGAGCGGCGGCAACAUGACGUAUACAGUCGCCCCAAAUCAUCAAACUGUAGUUUCUAAAUGGCAGUGGACAUCAGCAGUAGGAAUGGCUCAGGUCCAAGAAGGCUAUGCCCUACCAGACCCGGUUGAUGUGCUUCCCCGGAUUUACUCUGUCCCACCGUCCACCUCCACCCCGG
rnacentral:lncRNA from 10 species